AGCUCCAAUAGCGUAUAUUAAAGUUGUUGCAGUUAAAAAGCUCGUAGUUGGAUUUCUGGUGGGAGCGACCGGUCCGGCGCUUAGCGCGGGUACUUGCGUCGUCUCCGGCCAUCCUUGGGGAGAGUUUGUCUGGCAUUAAGUUGUCGGGCAGAGGAUCCUCAUCGUUUACUGUGAAAAAAUUAGAGUGUUCAAAGCAGGCUUAUGCCGUUGAAUAUAUUAGCAUGGAAUAAUAAGAUAGGACUUUGGUACUAUUUUGUUGGUUUGCGCACCAAAGUAAUGAUUAAUAGGGACAGUUGGGGGUAUUCGUAUUCCGUUGUCAGAGGUGAAAUUCUUGGAUUUACGGAAGACGAACUACUGCGAAAGCAUUUACCAAGGAUGUUUUCAUUAAUCAAGAACGAAA
rnacentral:rRNA from 1 species